UAGCCGCAGAAUUUUUUACUGUGCUAAGGUAGCAUAAUCACUUGCCUUCUAAUUAAAGGAUAGAAUGAAAGGAACUACGAAUAUAUUAUAAAUCAUUAAUUUUUUUAAAAAUUAAAAAUAAGAAUUAAAAUCUUCUUUUUAAAAAGAAAGACGACAAGACCCUAACAAACUUAACUUUUAGUUAAACUGGGGCGGUAAAAAAAAAAAUCUUUCUAUUACUAAUUCACCUUAUUAGAAUUUUAAAAGUUACUGUAGGGAUAACAGCACAAUUUUUAUUAAAAGCUCUUAUAUAAAUAAAAGAUUAUGACCUCGAUGUUGAAUUAAUAACCUGCAACAAGC
rnacentral:rRNA from 1 species